GAAGUUAGCCGGGGCGUUCUUCUGCGAGUAACGUCAUUAUCCUCCUCGCUGAAAGAGCUUUACAACCCUAGGGCCUUCAUCACUCACGCGGCAUGGCUGGAUCAGGGUUGCCCCCAUUGUCCAAUAUUCCCCA
rnacentral:rRNA from 1 species